rnacentral:rRNA from 1 species
UACGUAGGGCGCAAGCGUUGUCCGGAAUUAUUGGGCGUAAAGCGUGCGUAGGCGGUCAUUCAAGUCUGGUGUUAAAGCUAGGGGCUCAACCCCUGUGUUGCACUGGAAACUGGAUGACUUGAGUGCGGUAGGGGAAGGUAGAAUUCCGAGUGUGGCGGUGAAAUGCGUAGAUAUUCGGAAGAAUACCGGUGGCGAAGGCGACCUUCUGGGCCGCAACUGACGCUGAGGCACGAAAGCGUGGGGAGCAAACGGG